CGCUGGCGGCGUGCUAACAAUGCAAGUCGAACGAGAAAGUGGAGCAAUCCAUGAGUAAAGUGGCGACCGGGUGAGUAACACGUGACUAACCUGCCUUCGAGUGGGGGAUAACCUCGGGAAACCGGGGCUAAUACCGCAUAAUGCCUUCGGGUUAAAGAAGCAAUUCGCUUGAAGAGGGGGUCGCGGCUGAUUAGCUAGUUGGUGAGGUAACGGCUCACCAAGGCGAUGAUCGGUAGCCGGCCUGAGAGGGCGCACGGCCACACUGGAACUGAAACACGGUCCAGACUCCUACGGGAGGCAGCAGUGGGGAAUUUUGCGCAAUGGGGGAAACCCUGACGCAGCAACGCCGCGUGGAGGAUGAAGUCCCUUGGGACGUAAACUCCUUUCGACCGGGACGAUAAUGACGGUACCGGUGGAAGAAGCCCCGGCUAACUUCGUGCCAGCAGCCGCGGUAAUACGAGGGGGGCAAGCGUUGUUCGGAAUUAUUGGGCGUAAAGGGCGCGUAGGCGGUGCGGUAAGU
rnacentral:rRNA from 1 species